AGCGGAAGUAAAAACCUGGUGAAGCAGGCGACUCCCAGUCGGCUCCUGAAUAUUUCAGUAUUUAGAUUACCAGCAGCAGCAUUGCUGAAGAUUUGUCGGAGCACCUCAGACAGGAGUGUAACGUAAAAAACCAAGCAGUUAGUUUAAACAACCAAUAAUUGGAGGAUAGCUCACUGUUGCAGAAUACCUGCUGAAGACCAUUUCAUACAGCUGUUUGGACGCUCAUUCUGACGGCACCCAUUCACUGCAGAGGAUCCAUUGGUGAAGAAGUGAUGUAAUGCUUUCGAUGAUGAAAUAACUAAUCUAGGAUGGCCUGAGGGAUGCUGGAUUGGGAAAUGCAUCCUGGGCCUGUUUAGAAGAAAGAUGACAGAAUGCCCUGACUUCAGCCUGUGAGAGACACGAUAAGACGGCAAGAAGCACAAAUUGUUAUUGAGAGCUUUACAGAUUUAAUUGUUUUUUGUUUUAAAUGUUGUUGAUCAUAUGGUAAAACCAGAAAGACCUCAACACAAUACAAACAGGAAUCACACCGACACUCAGUUUAGUGUGAACAGUACACGUAUACAGUAUGUGUGUGUGACUCUAAUGUCCAGCCUUUUGAGAGAGCUCUCGACCAUUUCAUCUUGUGCUUUGUGCUCUUGUUCUUUGAGGGCAGCUUGCUUUAACGUCCCUGUGGUGAAGGUGCUCAUGAACAUCGGGGUGUGUGUGUUGCUCUAAAGCACACUGAGGUUCUAUAUUCUCUCCAGGAGGUUAUCUAAGUGAGUUUAAAAAGCUCUGACCUGUAAGCUGAAAGCCUGUUUUUGAUCUUCUAAGAUUUCACUCUCACCAGUACAAAAUCUAAAGAUGAUUUUCAGUAUGUUGUGAUGUUGAGAGCUGAGCGGAUUUUUUUAUUUUUAGAAGAAAUGGAGCUCAUGGAACAGGUGUGAAGGGUCCAAAGGACCUCACAACAUUAGUGAAACCUGAAAGCACCUACAUAAUUAAUAAACAUGUUAUGUAAUGUCUUAAUGUAUGUAAGAAUGCAGAAAGGUUUGUAUGAAGGUUAUGUUUAGUCUUAUUGUAUGCCUGGGAUGUUUUUUAGACCAAAGACCAUUUUGUGGAUUGCUAGAUCACCUAUAAUAACUGGUAUAGUAUCAUUUUAAUCUUUUUACAAACUUUAUGAUGCUUCAUUGCACAUCCACUGAAAGAGUGGUUCUCGACAGUAUUCAAAGAC